rnacentral:rRNA from 1 species
ACGGGUGAGUAACGCGUGGGAAUCUACCCAGUUCUACGGAACAACACAGGGAAACUUGUGCUAAUACCGUAUACGCCCUACGGGGGAAAGAUUUAUCGGAAUUGGAUGAGCCCGCGUAAGAUUAGCUAGUUGGUGGGGUAAUGGCCUACCAAGGCGACGAUCUUUAGCUGGUCUGAGAGGAUGAUCAGCCACACUGGGACUGAGACACGGCCCAGACUCCUACGGGAGGCAGCAGUGGGGAAUAUUGGACAAUGGGCGCAAGCCUGAUCCAGCCAUGCCGCGUGAGUGAUGAAGGCCUUAGGGUUGUAAAGCUCUUUCAGUGGGGACGAUAAUGACGGUACCCACAGAAGAAGCCCCGGCUAACUUCGUGCCAGCAGCCGCGGUAAUACGAAGGGGGCUAGCGUUGUUCGGAUUUACUGGGCGUAAAGCGCACGUAGGCGGAUCGUUAAGUCGGGGGUGAAAUCCUGGAGCUCAACUCCAGAACUGCCUUCGAUGCUGGCGAUCUUGAGUCCGGAAGAGGUGAGUGGAACUCCUGGUGUAGAGGUGGAAUUCGUAGA